AGGCUGUCAUGUUUUGCCUCUUCCCACCAAGUGAUAUCUGUAUCCAAGACACCAAUUCUACCUCUCUUACCCCAACCCUUUUUUUUUUCUAGUAAAGUCCUGAAGCUACUUUGAAUAGUUUCCAGCAAAGACUUGGGUGAAGAGUUCUGGCCACCACACAGACAUUCAACAGCUGAAUGGCUUCAGCAAAUGAAUGAUCAGGAGUUUUCCUGACCCACCUGCCUGCUGCCCACGUGUGGAAAUCUGCACCCACCACCUGCUCUGCCAGGUACAGCUCAAGGCCAGUGAAAGGGACAGAGCCUGAGAGACUUUUCUUCUAUGGAAGAUCAGGGGUUCUGCUUGCAAAGGGUGUGUCCUGGGCACGGCACCUCAGUCACAGCCCUUUUCCACAGAUGGAUGCUGUUGAUGCUGUACCCUUCCCUGCUGGCCUUGUUCAGGUGGUAAAAUCUCUUUUGGAAGAUGCUCUAAGCCAGUUCCUGAGUUGCAUCCCAUCGUGGAAAGGACACAGCAUGCAAAAAUAAGCUUGUCGCAUUCAUUUCCCACCACACUUACACUAAAUAGGGGGUUUCUCCAGAGGAGCAAGCUCCCUGUUCUCCCAUCUCCCACCCUGUCAUAGAACCGUGAGUUGGAAGGGACCCUGUAAGGCCACCUAGUCCAACUGCCUUGCAUCGAAGUGGGAUAAGUGCCACUCCGGUAGCGAUGGUGUUAGCGACUUGUAGAAAAAGGUCAGAAGAAGAGCGUGCACCGCCAAUUUCCAGCUAACAAAGGCACCUGGUCUCCACCGAGGACACUAGAGGGCGCUUCCACCUUAUUUUUGGGAGCACUCCUCUGCAGGAGUUCCUCGCCUCUUCCCCCAGCAGCUGGAGAAGGUUGGGUGAAGGUCUAUCGAAAAGGGGACUUGUCUCCGAUGUGUGUUUGCAAGGGGCUUAG
rnacentral:lncRNA from 1 species